rnacentral:rRNA from 1 species
UACGAAGGGGGCUAGCGUUGUUCGGAAUUACUGGGCGUAAAGCGUGCGCAGGCGGCUUCUCAAGUCAGGGGUGAAAGCCCAGAGCUCAACUCUGGAACUGCCUUUGAGACUGAGAGGCUUGAGUACGGGAGAGGUGAGUGGAACUGCGAGUGUAGAGGUGAAAUUCGUAGAUAUUCGCAAGAACACCAGUGGCGAAGGCGGCUCACUGGCCCGUAACUGACGCUGAGGCACGAAAGCGUGGGGAGCAAACAGG